AUUACACAAUAAAUUGGGGUGCCCAAUACGGUUAUGAGAAUGCUAAUUUUCUUGAGUUUCAGCAACGAAAUAAAUAAAUAAAAUAAAAUGCAACUAAAGAUCCUAUGGAGUUAAUCUCCACUGGACAACUUUGAUUGGAUGUGGGAGGCAGCUUUCAUUCGCAACCUGCUUGCAAUUCAAUAUUUGGAUAUUCGUCUUUCUGAUCU
rnacentral:lncRNA from 1 species